ACGCUCGACACCUACGGGAGGCGGCAGUUGGGAAUAUUGGACAAUGGAGGAAACUCUGAUCCAGUGACGCCGCGUGAAGGAAGAAGGUCUUCGGAUUGUAAACUUAUUUUGUCAGGGAAGAAAAAAUGACUGUACCUGAAGAAAAAGCACCGGCUAACUACGUGCCUGCAGCCGCGGUAAUCUGAGCGGGCUGGCAAGGC
rnacentral:rRNA from 1 species